CGCCUCCUGCAAACCCCUAUGUAUAGGAGGUCCAGCCUGCCCAGUGACUACAAGUUCAACGGCCGCGGUAUUUUGACCGUGCAAAGGUAGCGCAAUCACUUGUCUUUUAAAUGAAGACCUGUAUGAAUGGCCAAACGAGGGCUUAGCUGUCUCCCCCAUCAAGUCAGUGAAAUUGAUCUAUCCGUGCAGAAGCGGGUAUUAACAUACAAGACGAGAAGACCCUUUGGAGCUUAAGGUACAAAUCCACCUACGUUAAACAGCUUCCUAAAAAAGCACAAACCUAAUAGAAUAUGGAAUUUUACCUUCGGUUGGGGCGACCACGGAGAACAAAAAAUCCUCCAAGUGGAUUGGGAACUUCCCUAAAACCAAGAAAGACACUUCCAAGUCACAGAAAAUCUGACCAAACAUGAUCCGGCCGCCCGGGCCGAUCAGCGAACCAAGUUACCCUAGGGAUAACAGCGCAAUCCCCUCCAAGAGUCCAUAUCGACGAGAGGGUUUACGACCUCGAUGUUGGAUCAGGACAUCCUAAUGGUGCAGCCGCUAUUAAGGGUUCGUUUGUUCAACGAUUAAAGUCCU
rnacentral:rRNA from 1 species